rnacentral:lncRNA from 11 species
UCUGAAGAUAAAAGAGUGCCCCCAAUGGGUUUCCGUGGAUAUGAGGAUUUGAAACUUGCUCUCCCUGAAAUCCUGGUCCAACACUCAAACCACUGUACCAAGCUACCUCUACAUACCUGGAAUAGACACAGGAAAUGAAAGAAUGUCUUUCAUUCCAGCGAUGACUGUUGCCCG